UGCAAGUCGAGCGGCAGCGCGGGGCAACCUGGCGGCGAGCGGCGAACGGGUGAGUAACGCAUCGGAACAUGUCCAUUCGUGGGGGAUAGCCCGGCGAAAGCCGGAUUAAUACCGCAUACGCCCUGAGGGGGAAAACGGGGGACUUCGCAAGAGGCCUCGCGCGAAUGGGUUGGCCGAUGUCCGAUUAGCUAGUUGGUGGGGUAAAGGCUUACCAAGGCGAUGAUCGGUAGCUGGUCUGAGAGGAUGAUCAGCCACACUGGGACUGAGACACGGCCCAGACUCCUACGGGAGGCAGCAGUGGGGAAUUUUGGACAAUGGGGGAAACCCUGAUCCAGCCAUUCCGCGUGAGUGAAGAAGGCCUUCGGGUUGUAAAGCUCUUUUGUCCGGAGCGAAACGGUUAGCGUGAAUAUCGCUGACUACUGACGGUACCGGGAGAAUAAGCACCGGCUAACUACGUGCCAGCAGCCGCGGUAAUACGUAGGGUGCGAGCGUUAAUCGGAAUUACUGGGCGUAAAGCGUGCGCAGGCGGUUUUGUAAGCCAGAUGUGAAAGCCCCGGGCUUAACCUGGGAAUGGCAUUUGGGACUGCAAGGCUUGAGUGCGGCAGAGGAGACUGGAAUUCCUGGUGUAGCAGUGAAAUGCGUAGAUAUCAGGAGGAAUACCGAUGGCGAAGGCAGGUCUCUGGGCUGACACUGACGCUCAUGCACGAAAG
rnacentral:rRNA from 1 species